UACGUAGGGCGCAAGCGUUGUCCGGAAUUAUUGGGCGUAAAGAGCUCGUAGGCGGCCUGUCGCGUCUGCUGUGAAAUCCCGGGGCUUAACCCCGGGCGUGCAGUGGAUACGGGCUGGCUGGAGGCAGGCAGGGGAGAACGGAAUUCUCGGUGUAGCGGUGAAAUGCGUAGAUAUCGGGAGGAACACCAAUGGCGAAAGCAGGUAACUGGACUAUUACUGACACUCAACUGCGAAAGCUAGGGGAGCAAACAGG
rnacentral:rRNA from 1 species